rnacentral:rRNA from 1 species
AACGAACGCUGGCGGCAUGCCUAACACAUGCAAGUCGAACGACACCUUCGGGUCUAGUGGCGCACGGGUGCGUAACGCGUGGGACGCUGCCCGUAGGUUCGGAAUAACUCCCCGACGGGGGUGCUAAUACCGGGUAACUUCUUCGGACACAAGAUUGAACGCGCUUGUGUGGGCGCGCGUUGGAUUAGCUGGUUGGUAGGGUAAAAGCCUACCAAGGCGACGAUACAUAGCUGGUCUGAGAGGAUGAGCAGCGACACUGGGACGGGGACGCGGUGGAGAAUCUUACGCGAGGGAGGAGUGGGGAAUAUUGGACAAUGGGGUAAGGCCUGAAGCAGCAAGGCCGGGAGAGUGAUGUAGGCCGGAGGGUUGUAAAGCACGUUUACCCGGGAUGAUAAUGACAGUACCGGGAGAAUAAGCACCGGCUAACUCCGUG